CGCGCUGGGGCAAAGGGCCGCCCACGCGGGGUGGGGACCGGCCCGACCGGCCCCGGUGACGCCGGUGUCACCGUCACUGUCAUUGUCACCUGUCACGGGCACCGGGGAUUUAAGGGCGACGGGGAGAAGCCAACGGGACACACGGGAGCUGGCAGGAUGUGCGCUCAGUGUUUGGCGAAUCUCGUGCGUCAGGUCUGGGGGUUCCUGAGGAGCCUUUGCGGGGGACACGGAGGCUCCUCCUCCCCCCCCUCAGCCGGGGGGUCGACGGCGGCUCCGCCCAAAGCUGAUUGAGACGCCCCCAAAACCCCCCGGGACCCCCAAAACCUCCCCCUGGACCCCUAAACCCCCCAGGACCCCCCGGGACCCCCAAACCCACCCCCGGGGAGAAUAAACCAACUAUGGCCCUGCGAA